rnacentral:rRNA from 1 species
AAAUAAAGACCCGUAUGAAUGGCUAAAUGAGGGCAAGCCUGUCUCUUAUAAUUAAUCAGUGAAACUGAUCUUCCAGUACAAACGCUGGAAUAAACACAUAAGACGAGAAGACCCCGUGGAGCUUAAAACAAACCACUAACACACUUCAACCCUAGUGCACUGUUUUGAGUUGGGGCGACUUCGGAAUAAAAUAAAACUUCCGAGCACAGAACCACCACUUCCAACCAAGGCCAACAAGCCUAAGUAUAACCAGACCCGGCUACAUUGCCGAUCAACGAACCAAGUUACCCCGGGGAUAACAGCGCUAUCUUCUUCAAGAGUCCCUAUCAACAAGAAGGUUUACGACCUCGAUGUUGGAUCAGGACACCCAAAUGGUGCAGCCGCUAUUAAAGGUUCGUUUGUUCAACGAUUAACAGUCCUACGUGAUCUGAGUUC